rnacentral:rRNA from 1 species
UACGUAGGGAGCAAGCGUUGUCCGGAAUUAUUGGGCGUAAAGAGCUCGUAGGCGGUUUGUUGCGUCGGCUGUGAAAUCCCGAGGCUCAACCUCGGGUCUGCAGUCGAUACGAGCAAACUAGAGUGUUGCAGGGGAGACUGGAAUUCCUGGUGUAGCGGUGAAAUGCGCAGAUAUCAGGAGGAACGCCGGUGGCGAAGGCGGGUCUCUGGGCAACAACUGACGCUGAGGAGCGAAAGCGUGGGGAGCGAACAGG